CCCCCACCCUGCAUGCAAGAUCUCUCCCACCCUCCUGUCUAAAAUGAUUCUUCCUUGCACAUUCUCACAUCUCCCAUUUUUUUCCAUUUAGCGCUUAUCAAAAUGAAUUUUUUUCCCUCCUUGAUUUUUCCCUCCUUUGUCUGCCUCUCCUGCCUGCAGCUAUUGUUGAAGCAGGCAGGACCUCUUUGACUAGCCUCCUCCUGCAUCUCCAGCUUGGGGUAGAGCCUGUGGCACGUUGUAAAAGGCUUGGUAAAACAGGACAAAUGACUGAAUGACAACAGAGAGGUGGGCCCAUCUCUCUAUUUCCUUCUGGUUAUGAAAUCUGAUUCAAAAUAUAAAAUUUAGGAUCAAAGCUAUUAUGGGAGAAUAUUAAAUCCAUAUAAAUAACCGAAAUGUGCCCUGAGGAAAAAAAAGAAACAAGAAAAGAUUAUAGAGAACGGAAAAGAUAAUCAUCUCGUCAGGGUUUAAAAACAGAAGAUGAAAACGAGAACCCAGGAGCAUGCAAGCCCUGCUGCAAACACUCCACAUGAUUUCUGGGGGAACAGACGACCAGGGUGAACGAGGAGCAGCUGGGUGUGCCUGCUCUUUCACCUGGAGGCGUGCAACUGCACGGACAGCUCACUAGUUCACAAGAAGUCUCUUUAUUCUGGUGAGUGUAUUACAGGUGAUCGCUAGUGAACGUCCGCGUGUGCUGGGAAAGGCUGUCCGUCGGUCCCUCUGAAAGCUUUCUCAAGAGCCGACUCAGACCAGCUUGAGUUCCGCUUACUCCAACAAACCACACUGGCUACUGAGUGGCAAAUAGCAAGCGGGGUUACCUAACCUCUUGCCCAUCCUUCAGAAGGCAAGCAUUUUAAAGGCCAAGGCUGUUGGCUACAUCCGCUGCUGUCUUCUCAAUAGGGCCGAUGAGUAGAAAAAGCAAUUGACUAAAUAGUUGUUCAAACAAACGAACAGAUACAUCAAGGACUUAGACUCCAAGAACUGUCACCCAUGUUUCUGUACAUCUUUUUUCCUGUUUCAUCCUGCAUCACCUUGUCUUGUCCACACUAGGUUUUGCUCCCCUUUCCAAAUGAAAGGUUGAGGCUUUACAAAAGCACAGCUACAGGGGUCUGGCACCCUCUUCUGGCUUCCCAGGAGCCAGUGCGAGAGCGUGCACACAUGCAUGCACACUCACACACACACACACACACACACACACACUGAAUCUUAAAAAAUGACACAGUUCUAUCAUUAAACAAGGAUUAGGCAGUAAUAUUUGCACUAGUCACUUUUCUCACCGUUAUGGCAAAAUAGUCAAUAACAGCAACUUAAGAAAGGGAGAAUUUACCUAGGUUCAGAGUUCGUAGCUCCAGUCCGUGGCAGAAGUCUGUAGCAUUUUGUCUGCAGUCAGGAAACACAGGUGAAAGCAACUCAUUUUCUCCUUUACAUUUAUUUUGGGAUGCCAACCUAUGGGAUGGUACUGCCCACGUUCUGAGUGGGUCUUCCCUUGCCAGCUCAGUCUCAUAGACAUAACCAGAGCUAGGCAUUCCAAAUGUAGUCAGGUCGAUGUAAAGAUGGACAGUCACCGCAUCUACAAUCAGCUGCCAGUUUUAGUGAGGUUCCAUUGUGUGGUGUGCGCCACGAAGGGAAAAGGAAGUCUUUGGCCAAGAAAUACCUAGAAGCAAAUUCCCAAUGACUCAAGUUCAAAAUGGUGAACGCUGAACCUGGAGGCCUUUUUUUUUUUUUUUUUUGUUCAUGCCAGACCAGUUAUGUAUAAUGCAGAAUACAGUUUGAUCAAAGACAACCAACUAACUUGCUGGACACAUUGACUUUGGUGCCACCUGGAAACAUCUCUUUCCUACCCUUCUGCAAUCUGCCUUUAAACCAUGUAGUCACGUUGCCUUUACCGUCUAUUAAUGGCGUCGUGGUCAGCUUCCCAGCUUCUCAUCCAAGUUCAACCCCAAGAGCAACCACGUUCCAGGGUAGGCGGAGUCCACCACAGUGGUUCUGUAUUAUUUUCAGCUCAAGAACCAUGUUGUGAACGCCUUUAUUAGAAAUGUCCACAUCUGCCAGAAAUGUUUAAUGAGGCAUGGUCUGAUAUUUGCUCUGAAAUAUUUCAAAAAAAGAAGAAACAACAACAACGGAAGAAAGAAAGGAAGAAGACACACAGGGCGCAACCAGAUGUGGGUAAUGGUUGGAGCUGAAUUAUGCAUACUUUGGGAUGAAUUUUACUCCUCUUUCUACUUUUGCACAUAUUUAAGAAUGAAAUGUCUACUCUAAGAUGUUUUGUGACAGCCUCAUCUAAUUUAAACAUGUAGGGGACUCCUUGUCUUUUUAUUAUUUCUUUAUUAUUUUUUAAAUUUAUUUUUCAUUCAAAAAUUUCCACUUCCUCCCCUCCUCCCAUUCCCCUCCUGCUCCCUCACUCCCUCUCUUACCUCCCCCUCCAGUCUUAAAUCCCUUGUUUCUUUAUACCCAUCUCCCCACCUCCCCAGAGCGCACUCCCCUGAUCCUGAACUCUCUGAGGGCAGAGGGGGUAGGACCAUUCUCUUCAGUGUUAGCAUGGGUGACUCUUCCUUCGUUCCUUCUCCUCAUCCUGAUUUCUCCUCUGCUGACGCUCCUCUCUCAUAUUUCUUUUUUUGGGGGGGGGUGUGUGCACAGUUGGGAGACACGCAAAAGAAAAGGAGAAAGUCCUAUCCUAACUGACUUUAACUUGUUCUGUCUGGACUCCACAUGAUUAACUGACUCUAUUUGGAUGCCGCAUAACUAAUUCAUUCCAUUUGGACGUCACAUAUUUCUGCUUUGGGGGUUUUGCAUGAAGGUCCUUCACAAGCCCCUCCAAAGGCUCUUGUGGACCCCUGGUCAUCGCCACCUGCUUCACUGUGACCUGGCUAGUUAGACGUGUGUGUCCUGCCUGCUGCCGUCUGGGUGUGCUGUGAUCAGAUGUUGGGUUCCUACCUUGACUUCCCUCAAGCGAUGGACUUUCUUUUAGAAUUAAGGUGAUGGGAAGUGAUCGGACCACGAGGCAGAGGGCUUCCUGGAAGACACUGGUGGCCUUACAAAAGGGACUCUAGGGAUCUACCUCAUCCCUCUGCCUGCAAGGAUGCAACAUGGCCACACCAUGUGUCUGGAAUGAGGCUCUUGUUUGACAGUGCUUUGACCUGGAUUGUGGGAUU